GACGAACGCUGGCGGCGUGCUUAACACAUGCAAGUCGAACGGAAAGGCCCUGCUUUUGUGGGGUGCUCGAGUGGCGAACGGGUGAGUAACACGUGAGUAACCUGCCCUUGACUUUGGGAUAACUUCAGGAAACUGGGGCUAAUACCGGAUAGGAGCUCCUGCUGCAUGGUGGGGGUUGGAAAGUUUCGGCGGUUGGGGAUGGACUCGCGGCUUAUCAGCUUGUUGGUGGGGUAGUGGCUUACCAAGGCUUUGACGGGUAGCCGGCCUGAGAGGGUGACCGGCCCCAUUGGGCCUGGGAUACGGCCCAGACUCCUACGGGAGGCAGCAGUGGGGACUAUUGCACAAUGGGCGGAAGCCUGAUGCAGCGACGCCGCGUGCGGGAUGACGGCCUUCGGGUUGUAAACCGCUUUCGCCUGUGACGAAGCGUGAGUGACGGUAAUGGGGAAAGAAGCACCGGCUAACUACGU
rnacentral:rRNA from 1 species